rnacentral:rRNA from 1 species
ACGAAGGCCCGGGGCUUGCCCCGGUCACCUUAGUGGCGGACGGGUGAGUAACGCGUGGGAACCUGCCCAGGAGCGGGGAAUAACCUCGGGAAACUGAGGCUAAUACCGCAUACGCCCUCCGGGGGAAAGGCUUCGGCCACUCUUGGAUGGUCCCGCGUCUGAUUAGCUUGUUGGUGAGGUAACGGCUCACCAAGGCGACGAUCAGUAGCUGGUCUGAGAGGACGAUCAGCCACACUGGGACUGAGACACGGCCCAGACUCCUACGGGAGGCAGCAGUGGGGAAUAUUGGACAAUGGGCGAAAGCCUGAUCCAGCAAUGCCGCGUGAGUGAAGAAGGCCUUAGGGUUGUAAAACUCUUUCGUCGGUGAAGAUGAUGACGGUAGCCGGUAAAGAAGCCCCGGCUAACUCCGUGCCAGCAGCCGCGGUAAUACGGAGGGGGCUAGCGUUGUUCGGAAUUACUGGGCGUAAAGCGCGCGUAGGCGGCGCACGCAGUCAGAGGUGAAAGGCCUGGGCUCAACCCAGGAACUGCCUUUGAUACUGGUGUGCUAGAGUCCGGGAGAG